rnacentral:lncRNA from 12 species
CGAGGUUGCCCCCUGGUGCCCCCGCGCCAGCGCACAGCGCGGGCACGCGCGGCGGGGCGUGGGGGCACGCGCAGGGAUGUGGGGGAGAGUGAGAGUGUGAGAGUGUGCGCGAGGGGGCACGCGCUGGGUCCGGUAGUGGGCACGAGCUAUGGGAAGGAGAAGUCCUGAAGGGAGGAACCUCCAGGGAAAGCCAAACCCCGCUGAGCGACGGCUGACGGAGGAGCCAGCGAAGGGGCCGGCCGCAGAAAAGGCCCCCAGCAGGUGUGUGCGUUCUACCACAGAUCUUCUCUAUGUUCUACCUGCC